UACGGAGGGUGCAAGCGUUGUUCGGAAUUAUUGGGCGUAAAGCGCGUGCAGGCGGUUUUUUAAGUCUGAUGUGAAAGCCCCGGGCUUAACCUGGGAAGUGCAUUGGAAACUGGGAAACUUGAGUACGGGAGAGGGAAGUGGAAUUUCGAGUGUAGGGGUGAAAUCCGUAGAUAUUCGAAGGAACACCGGUGGCGAAGGCGGCUUCCUGGACCGAUACUGACGCUGAGACGCGAAAGCGUGGGGAGCAAACAGG
rnacentral:rRNA from 1 species